rnacentral:rRNA from 1 species
UACGUAGGAUGCAAGCGUUGUCCGGAUUUACUGGGCGUAAAGCGUGCGUAGGCGGUUCGCUGUGUCCGAUGUGAAAGCCCCGGGCUUAACCUGGGAAUGGCAUUGGAAACUGGCGGGCUUGAGUGCGGCAGAGGGGGGUGGAAUUCCGCGUGUAGCAGUGAAAUGCGUAGAGAUGCGGAGGAACACCGAUGGCGAAGGCAGCCCCCUGGGUCGACACUGACGCUCAGGCACGAAAGCGUGGGGAGCAAACAGG